ensembl:lncRNA
AUGAGGACAUCAGGCUCUUUGUCUCUUUUGUCUUUGGUUUCCCAGCUACUCUCUGAGAAGCCACCUCAUCUAUUGGAUGGAAAUGAUGGAGGUACUCUUUCAAUAGGGAUGCUUUGUUUUUCUUCUGGUUUAGUGGGUUCACUCCAGAAUACUGUUAUGAAAGGUUCUUGGCAUUUGUUGAUUCAUCCUUGUUUUCUUUGCAAAUUCAAAUCUUUGUCCAAGCUACCCUGAAGCCAUGGUGUACUGGAACUGGCUUGCACUGACUCUUGGGAGCUUCUGUACCACGUGCUGCAUUAGGUCAUAUCUUGUGAUUAGCUUGAAACUGGCUAAGGUGGGAGUAUUUACACCAUGGAAAUCUGCAAAUGUUACGAUUCAUAGCUUUCCCCUACUCCUCCAACCCCAAAGAGCUGGUGGUUAAAUAUUUACCAGCACACCACUGCCUUUUAGGAAAAGCCUUCUGACAUGGCCUUAUUUUAACAACUUUCCUGUUUCCUUGUGCUUUCAGGGCCAUUUAAAAAAUUAUGGCAUAGCUGAGUUAUUUAGUUUCUCUCUUUCUCUCUCCUACACUGCUACUUUUAACAUUUUCCCUCACCAGAGGGCCUGACAAUGCAGUAGACUAGUUGGUAUAUAUCUGAUUGCUGGGGACAAUCAGUGUAAAAAAAACCCUGAACUCUGUAGCAAAUUUCUGCCUUCCUUCCUGAGGUUUACAAAAAUACUUUAAUUAUAUCCCUCAGUUUAGCUGUAGACCGUGGUUAAAAUUCAGCUUCUAUAGAUAUGCCUUCUGGUCUAGUAGUUUUCAGGGGCUGUUUUGCAAUGUAAUUGUUCGUUUCCUGAGACAAGCUUCCUUAGAAGCUCAGGAGAGAGAGCAGAAGAAAUAGAGGAAUGUAAGCGGUGGUGAUGAGCAAGGAAAGAGAGCAGAGCACAGAGGAGAGAGUUCUGAGUCUAAGCGGGAGCUAAGUAGAACUUUUGUGACAGGUUCUGUCCAUAUCAAUACUUUGUUUUGAGUCCUUAGUCUAUUCAUCAAAAAAGCUGACUACUGAACUUUGAAUAUGUUUUUCUCAGCAUUUUCCAGAGCUAUUGUGAAAUGUAUUAAUUUCUUAAUUUUGACAUGUCACAAUUUCCCCAAAAUGAUCAGUUCUCAGUGUCAGGGGCUGAAUUUUGUCUCUCUGAGAUUCAUAUGUUCAAGUCCUCAUCCCCAGUAUUUCAGAAUCUGACUGUAAUUGGAGAUAGAGUUGCCACAGAGGUAAUUAGGGUGAGCCCUAAUCCAAUUUGACCGGCAUCCUUGUGACAAGAGAAGAUUAGAGCCAGGUGCUGUGGCUCAAGUCUGUAAUUUCAGCUUCUCAGGACACUGAGGCAGGAGGAUGGCUUGAGGUCAGAUGCUCAAGACCAGCCUGGGCAACACAGCAAGACCUCAUCUCUAAAAAAAUAAAAAUAAAAAUUACCUGGGUAUGGUGGUGCAUGCCCUUAGUCCCAGCUACUAGGGAGGCUGAGGUAGGAGGAUGGCUUGGGGCUACAGUGAGCUAUGAUCACAUCGCUGUACUCCAGCCUGGGCAACAGAGCAAGACCUAUCAACAAGAAGAAAAAAGAAGAAAGAAGAAAGAAGAAGAAGAAAAAAGAAAGAAGGAGGAGGAGGAGGAGGAGGAGAGGGAGGAGGAGGAGGAGGAGUAGAGGGAGAAGGAACAAGAAGGAGGAGAAGGAACAAGAGGAGGAGGAGGAGAAGAGGAGCAAUUAGGACACAGAAAGACACAGAGAGAAGACCCAUAUGACAACACAGGGAGAAACCAAUCCUGCUGAUAGUUUGAUCUCAAACUUCUAGCCUCCAGAAUUUCAAGAAAAUCAAUUUCGGUUGUUUAAACCACUUGGUCUGUGGUACUUUGGCAUGGCAGCCCUAGCAAGCUAAUAUACUAAGUAAAACAAUUUUGUUUUGUCACUUACCAAGUUAAAAGUAAUUUCAUACAAAAAGCAGGAGUUCUGUUAGGAAAGGGUUGGGGCUUUGACCUAGCCAAUCUCAUGACAAAGGGACCACCAUAGUUAGUCAAAAGUGUGUGUACUUGUAAAGAGUGUUUCAACCAACCAAGCAGAAUCUAGGAAGAGGUCACACAACCAAUGAUGCAACAAUUGUUGACCUUGGGAUAGACUGAACAAAAUUACCUUCCUUUACAAGUUGUUAAGACAGGGAACAUCCUCACAAAAUUUGGAAAGGGAUUGAGAGCAAAAUCUGAUCCAUCACUUUUGCAUGAAUUAAUUGCUUAUCUCCUGAAUCUCCGACUUGCAGUCCUCAGGGCUAGCUUGGAUGGGAUCGAAGCCCAUGCCUCCAGCUAUCCUUGUGGAGCACUCUCUCAUGCAUUUAACAGACACAAGACAGUGCAGAUCAAAUCAGAGCUGCACAAGAUGAGACUUUGUACAAAUAGUCAAAUAAAAACAAAAGCAAAGCAAGCACGAAAAGAAUAAGCAGAUUAAAGGCAAAAAUAUUCACCAAAUGAUGCAUUUCCAAAGAAGUGCUAAUUAUACAAAAAGACUGAGAUCUCAUUUUCUUGUACAAAGAACUAUUUGGUUAUGAAAUCUAGGAUAACAAAAUAAAUUCAGCAAAGACAUUUUAAUGAAACACGUGAGGAAAAUCCACAAAGUAAGUAGAAUUAGGGCACAGAGGACCUGGGCUCAAAGCAUCUGUUGUUGAGUGCCAUGGAAUUCUGCUAACUAGGCAUUUUCAACACAAUCUCAUUGGGACCUCCAGAUUUAUCAAAGGAGGAGACCACCACUUAAAAUCUGAAUAUCUUUCUUAAGUAAGGAAUACCCAUUGUAGUCAGGAACAUUUCUCCAACCAAGGCAAACUGCCAGUCUUUUAUAGAGUUGUUGGGAAGAGUGUUUCAGGUUGUGUUGUUUUUAGAGGGAGGGGUGGGUUGAUAUCAGCCUCAGAAGGAUGUUCACAUAAGCGAGUCCACCAGGAAUUGGUUUACUUCCACAUCAUGAAGCUGCUGUGGAUUGGUUGGCUUUCAGAGUUUUGAUCAUUGAAGUGAGUUACCACUCAUCAACUUGUCCAAGUUGUAAAAUUAGCUUUUCUUUGACACAAAGAUUAUAGGACUGUCUUUGAUGAAUUAGAUAGGUUUAAAACAAAGUGAUGGAAACUUGUCAUCUUGAUUAUGGAACAACCAAUUAUUUCCUAGGAUUAUGGGAACACCAUGUAACAAUCGUUAUAUUUCACCUAUUUAUUUCGCUUAUUGCAUUUCUCUUCACUGGAGGAGACAUAUAGGUACCAUGAGGGCAGGGAUUUUGAUGUAUUUGAUUCCUGCUAGAUUUUCAGCAUCUAGAUCAGUGCCUAGCACACAGUAGGUGCUCAAUAAAUAUUUGCUAAAUGAAUUAGGGAGCCUGACCUCCAGACCCUGAACUGUAGAAGCCACAGGGAAGAUAUGGUUUGCUAUUUGCAUUAUUCAAAAAAAAAAAACUCUUUUGAGAAGUGUCUGUUCAUAUCCUUUGCCCACUUUUUGAUGAAGUUAUUUGAUUUUUUUCUUGUAAAUUUGUUCAAGUCCUUUGUAGAUUCUGGAUAUUAGUCCUUUGUCAGAUGAGUAGAUUGUAAAAAUUUUCUCCCAUUCUGUAGGUUGCCUGUUCACUCUGAUGGUAGUUUCUUUUGCUGUGCAGAAGCUCUUUAGUUUAAUUAGAUCCCAUUUGUCAAUUUUCGCUUUUGUUGUCAUUGCUUUUGGUGUUUUAGUCAUUAAGUCCUUGCCCAUGCCUAUGUCCUGAAUGGUAUUGCCUAGGUUUUCUUCUAGGGUUUUUAUGGUUUUAGGUCUAACAUUUAAGUCUUUAAUCCAUCUUGAAUUAGUUUGUAUAUAGGUGUAAGGAAGGGAUCUAGUUUCAGCUUUCUACAUAUGGCAAGCCAGUUUUCCCAGCACCAUUUAUUAAAUAGGGAAUCCUUUCCCCAUUUCUUGUUUUUGUGAGGUUUGUCGAAGAUCAGAUGGUUGUAGAUGUGUGGUAUUAUUUCUGAAGGCUCUGUUCUGUUGCAUUGGUCUAUAUGUCUGUUUUGGUACCAGUACCAUGCUGUUUUGGUUACUGUAGCCUUGUAGUAUAGUUUGAAGUCAGGUAGCUUGAUGCCUCCAGCUUUGAAGACA